UCAAGACAUAAAUAAAUAUUUAAAUAUUAAGAGCUACUGCUUCAAACUUAAAGAACAUGGCGGUGUCUUACAAACUCAGGGGAACCUGUUCCUUAAUUUGAUAGUCCACAUACAACCACACCUAAUCUCGCUUAACCUGUAUACUGCUGUCGCCAGCAAACUUAAAUACAAGCUUGCAUAAACCAAUACGUCAAGUCAAAGUACAGUAAAUGAUUUGGGGUGAAAUGGGUUACAACCUAAAUAAAGACACUUCAACAAAUAAAAUACCACAAGAUGGACUUGAAAGUAAUGUUAAAAGUCAUAAACAUUUACCUAAGACAUGUACACAUCGCCCGUCACUCCCACAAAAAUG
rnacentral:rRNA from 1 species